AAUGAGUAGUUACCCUAUUUACAGUAGAUGAUUACCUGAUAAUUCUGUCUCCACCUUAAAUAACCGUCUUAUUAAAGCAGUGAAUAUCAUAUCAAACGUUUACUUACGUUCUUAAUGCCUAUCUUGUGAGAGUAAAUGAUCAGUACAUGACGGCUUGAAGCUUCUACCUUCGGACGUAAAAUGAUAUACCAACGAUCCGUUGAGGGACAUCACAAUUAGGAUUGAGUUCGGGCUUUGAAACGCUCUGCAUAUAACAAAUAAGUUUGUGUUCUUGCUACCGGCGCAGCUGGUCGAAGAUGCCAGUUGCUGACCGCUCCGACAGACACCAGAAGCAUAGAAAAUAGCGAGCCCUCGUUGAACAUAUGUUUAACAACAACAACAGCAGUGAUUCGUACGGCCGCAGCGAGUUACCGAAGGCAGUCGGACGAAGACAGGUGCCCUGAGGAUCGGCGGCAGGAGCGUUUUUUUUUUUGGAAAAAAGCUA